rnacentral:rRNA from 1 species
AUGGGUGUCUGCCCGUGCGUUACUGACUAAUAACGGGAAUAACUUUUUAACAUUACGGUCUAUUCUCUGACGUGCCAGGGUACCGAUGGGCGGGGGUUUAUAUAUUCCGGCGGUCUAUGAUGGACUAGCUUGCUAGUGAGGGCUGGCGGGAAGAGUUCCGCUCAGCCCCUAUCCUAAGAGGACCUCACUGUAUGACCGACCGAUUGGGACUCAUUGCCCCCCAAACUCCUCCGGGAGGCUGCAGUGGGGAAUAGUGCCUUCUGGGGAGGACCCUUGUCUGACGUCACCAAAUGAGUUUAGAAAUAUAACUCUUUCUAGUGCUCAAUUAUGUGGAUCAAGAAUGACGGUUUCUGUGUAAAAUAUCCUUGCUAACUACGUCACAGCAAUAGAGGUGGUGGCUCUGUGCAUGCGUUAUCGCCAGAACUGUGUGUGUGGGGAGCGCAGUCGGAACUGCUGCCUGAAAAGAAAGCGCACGCGUUAACCCCAGUCUGUCUUUAAAUUCUGGGGUUCACCCCCGUCUGCUGGGCAGACUGUUUCCUAGUGUAUCUCAUACUGAGUGAUAUCCUAAUGAACUCCUGGAGAUGAAGGCAGUCUGCUAGACGAACCACUUGCUGUAGAGCAUCGUCCGCCUCGUGAGCUGACAGGAUACUU